CUAGGCUAGGUAGCUAGUUCCAUUUACUAUGGCUUCUAAUUCAGUGCUGUACAUAGAGAUUUGGCAAGGCAUGAUUUAGUAGCAAAUUGUUUGGCAUUGUUUCAAACAUCCCUCAUAUUACUUUUAAAGAUUCUUAUGGUGGCAAGUAAAAAAGCGAUUACUAAAUGUUGGCUUCAGAGGAACCCUCCUACCAUGAGACUCUUGAGGAACAUUGUGAAUUCCAUCAGCUUUAUGGAAAAAAAUGACUUUUAAUAUUGGAGAAAGUGGGAUUUAUACAAAGAUAAAGACUCGUAAAUAUAUCUUGUUUCAUUAGAAUGUACCAUCCAUUAUG